rnacentral:rRNA from 1 species
UACAGAGGGGGCAAGCGUUGUUCGGAAUUACUGGGCGUAAAGGGCGCGUAGGCGGCCUUCUAAGUCGAACGUGAAAUCCCCGGGCUCAACCCGGGAACUGCGUCCGAGACUGUAAGGCUUGAAUCCGGGAGAGGGAUGUGGAAUUCCAGGUGUAGCGGUGAAAUGCGUAGAUAUCUGGAGGAACAUCGGUGGCGAAGGCGGCAUCCUGGACCGGUAUUGACGCUGAGGCGCGAAAGCCAGGGGAGCAAACGGG